rnacentral:tRNA from 1 species
AAAUUCGUUGGCUCGAGCGGGAUUUGAACUCGCAUCUUCGGGUAUCUAGACCGCUGCUCUACCUAUUGAGCUAUCGAAAAUAUUUCGAAAAUAUUUUGUGCACUUAAAUUGGAUAAGACUCGCUACCAAUCCCUGUUGACUCGAUAGCUCAAUAGGUAGAGCGGCGGUCUAGAUACCCGAAGAUGCGAGUUCAAAUCCCGCUCGAGCCAACGAAUUU